GAUUUUUUUUCAAAAUAUAUGUGUUAACCCCUACGAAAAGAGUGAGUUUUCGGUAAAUGCUCUAUAUAUGAAGCCUAUAAUCUUUAAAUUUGUUUUAAAAUUUAAAACCACAUUAUACCUUUGUAUUAAUGUAUGAUAAACUUCUUUUCAUGGUACAUGGACAUCGUUCUAAUUUUUUAUCCAUUAAUUUAGCAAAACUGCAAAUACUCCCUAAAUCAUUAGACUAACCACUAUAAAAUUGUCAUUCCUUAGAGAAACGGAGACAAAAAAAGUUCCAAACGUCUUUGAACUUCAUCAUAUUUUAUUACAUGAUUCAAAUAUGUAUUAAAACAGUAUUUUCAAUUUUUUUGAUUUUUUUUCAAAAUCUAUGUGUUAACCCCUACGAAAAGAGUGAGUUUUCGGUAAAUGCUCUAUAUAUGAAGCCUAUAAUCUUUAAAUUUUUUUUAAAAUUUAAAACCACAUUAUACCUUUGUAUUAAUGUAUGAUAAACUUCUUUUCAUGGUACAUGGACAUCGUUCUAAUUUUUUAUCCAUUAAUUUAGUAAAACUGCAAAUACUCCCUAAAUCAUUAGACUAACCACUAUAAAAUUGUCAUUCCUUAGAGAAACGGAGACAACAAAAGUUCCAAACGUCUUUGAACUUCAUCAUAUUUUAUUACAUGAUUCAAAUAUGUAUUAAAACAGAAUUUUCAAUUUUUUUGAUUUUUUUUUCAAAAUCUAUGUGUUAACCCCUACGAAAAUAGUGAGUUUUCGUUAAAUACUCUAUAUAUGAAGCCUAUAAUAUUUAAAUUUGUUUUAAAAUUUAAAACCACAUUAUACCUUUGUAUUAAUGUCUGAUAAACUUUUUUUCAUGGUACAUGGACAUCGUUCUAAUGUUUUAUCCAUUAAUUUAGCAAAACUGAAAAUACUCCCUAAAUCAUUAGACUAACAACUAUAAAAUUGCUAUUCCCUAGAGAAACGGAGACAACAAAGGUUCCAAACCUCUUUGAACUUCAUCAUAUAUUAUUACAUGAUUCAUAUAUGUAUUAAAACAGUAUUGUCAAAUUUGUUGAAUUUUUCUCAAAAUCUAUGUGUACCCCUACGAAAAUAGUGAGUUUUCGGUAAAUGCUCUAUAUAUGAAGCCUAUAAUCCUUAAAUUUGUUUUAAAAUUUAAAACCACAUUAUACCUUUGUCUUAACGUAUGAUGAACUUCUUUUCAUGGUACAUGGACAUAGUUUUAAUUUUUUAUCCAUUAAUUUAGCAAAACUGCAAAUACUCCCUAAAUCAUUAGACUAACCACUAUAAAAUUGCUAUUCCCUAGAGAAACGGAGACAACAAAGGUUCCAAAUCUCUUUGAACUUCAUCAUAUAUUAUUACAUGAUUCAUAUAUAUAUUAAAACAGUAUUGUCAAAUUUUUUGAAUUUUUCUCAAAAUCUGUGUGUACCCCCCUACGAAAAUAGUGAGGUUUCGUUAAUGCUCUAUAUAUGAAGCUUAUAAUCUUUAAAUUUGUUUUAAAAUUUAAAACCACAUUAUUCCUUUGUAUUAAUAUCUGAUAAACUUCUUUUCAUGGUACAUGGACAUCGUUCUAAUUUUUUACCAAUUAAUUUAGCAAAACUGCAAAUACUCCCUAAAUCAUUGGACUAAUCACUAUAAAAUUGCUAUUCCCUAGAAAAACGGAGACAACAAAGGUUCCAAACCUCUUUGAAAUUCAUCAUAUGUUAUUACAUGAUUCAACUAUGCAUUAAAACAGUAUUGUCAAUUUUUUUGAAUUUUUCUCAAAAUUUAUGUGUACCCCCCUACGAAAAUAGUGAGUUUUCGGUAAAUGCUCUAUAUAUGGAGCCUAUAAUCUUUAAAUUUGUUGUAAACUUUAAAACCACAUUAUACCUUUGUCUUCACGUAUGAUAAACUUCUUUUCAUGGUACAUGGACAUAGUUCUAAUUUUUUAUCCAUUAAUUUAGCAAAACUGCAAAUACUCCCUAAAUCAUUAGACUAACCACUAUAAAAUUGUUAUUCCUUAGAGAAACGGAGACAACAAAGGUUCCAAACGUCUUUGAACUUCAUCAUAUUUUAUUACAUGAUUCAAAUAUGUAUUAAAACAGUAUUUUCAAUUUUUUUGAUUUUUUUUCAAAAUCUAUGUGUUAACCCCUACGAAAAGAGUGAGUUUUCGGUAAAUGCUAUAUAUAUGAAGCCUAUAAUCCUUAAUUUUGUUUUAAAAUUUAAAACCACAUUAUACCUUUGUAUUAAUGUCUGAUAAACUUCUUUUCAUGGUACAUGGACAUCGUUCUAAUUUUUUAUCCAUUAAUUUAGCAAAACUGCAAAUACUCCCUAAAUCAUU
rnacentral:lncRNA from 1 species